AUUGAACGCUGGCGGCAUGCCUUACACAUGCAAGUCGAACGGUAACAGGUCUUCGGAUGCUGACGAGUGGCGAACGGGUGAGUAAUACAUCGGAACGUGCCUAGUAGUGGGGGAUAACUACUCGAAAGAGUGGCUAAUACCGCAUGAGAUCUACGGAUGAAAGCAGGGGAUCGCAAGACCUUGUGCUACUAGAGCGGCCGAUGGCAGAUUAGGUAGUUGGUGGGAUAAAAGCUUACCAAGCCGACGAUCUGUAGCUGGUCUGAGAGGACGAUCAGCCACACUGGGACUGAGACACGGCCCAGACUCCUGCGGGAGGCAGCAGUGGGGAAUUUUGGACAAUGGGCGCAAGCCUGAUCCAGCAAUGCCGCGUGCAGGAUGAAGGUCUUCGGGUUGUAAACUGCUUUUGUACGGAACGAAAAGCCCUGGGUUAAUACCCUGGGGUCAUGACGGUACCGUAAGAAUAAGCACCGGCUAACUACGUGUCAGCCUCCGCGGUAA
rnacentral:rRNA from 1 species